rnacentral:rRNA from 1 species
GAUGAACGCUGGCGGCGUGCCUAAUACAUGCAAGUCGAGCGAACAGACGAGGAGCUUGCUCCUUCGACGUUAGCGGCGGACGGGUGAGUAACACGUAGGUAACCUACCUAUAAGACUGGGAUAACUUCGGGAAACCGGAGCUAAUACCGGAUAAUAUUUCGAACCGCAUGGUUCGAUAGUGAAAGAUGGCUUUGCUAUCACUUAUAGAUGGACCUGCGCCGUAUUGGCUAGUUGGUAAGGUAACGGCUUACCAAGGCAACGAUACGUAGCCGACCUGAGAGGGUGAUCGGCCACACUGGAACUGAGACACGGUCCAGACUCCUACGGGAGGCAGCAGUAGGGAAUCUUCCGCAAUGGGCGAAAGCCUGACGGAGCAACGCCGCGUGAGUGAUGAAGGUCUUCGGAUCGUAAAACUCUGUUAUUAGGGAAGAACAAACGUGUAAGUAACUGUGCACGUCUUGACGGUACCUAAUCAGAAAGCCACGGCUAACUACGUG